UCCGGCUUAUCACCUGUAUACCGACCACAAGGGGGGCCGUAUCUCUGCAGGCUUCUGGCGUAUGUCAAACCCAGGUAAGGUUCUUCGCGUUGCAUCGAAUUAAUCCGCAUGCUCCGCCGCUUGUGCGGGCCCCCGUCAAUUCCUUUGAGUUUUAGCCUUGCGGCCGUACUCCCCAGGCGGGGCGCUUAAUGCGUUAGCUACGGCACGGAACCCGUGGAAAGGAUCCCACACCUAGCGCCCAACGUUUACGGUGUGGACUAC
rnacentral:misc_RNA from 1 species